rnacentral:rRNA from 1 species
UACGAAGGGGGCUAGCGUUGCUCGGAAUUACUGGGCGUAAAGCGCACGUAGGCGGCUCUUUAAGUCAGGGGUGAAAUCCUGGAGCUCAACUCCAGAACUGCCUUUGAUACUGGCGAUCUCGAGUCCGGGAGAGGUGAGUGGAACUGCGAGUGUAGAGGUGAAAUUCGUAGAUAUUCGCAAGAACACCAGUGGCGAAGGCGGCUCACUGGCCCGGUACUGACGCUGAGGUGCGAAAGCGUGGGAGCAAACAGG